GUAUAAUUCACGUGGCUACUGUAACACUCCCUGUCCCAAUUUCAAUACUUUUAUCAAAUAUACCACGUGCAGAAUACAAAUUUUCUUUGUGGGUCACACACUACAGUCCUCUGGAGUGACUUUUUAAAUAUCCACCAAUUCUCCUGAAUCCUCCAUCAAAACCAUCUUCUCUCUCUCAGACAACACAAACUCAUAAAGAGUUGAAAAUGUUAUCAAUUGAGCCUAAUUCAGGGUUGAGAAUCCUUAUACAGCUCAAAAAUGGCGAAUCCAACGUUGUAUUCAACACUGCUUCAAAACUGAUAAACCCCAGUUUUUAUCUGAAUCAGACGCAACCUCCCUCGAUCCAUUCUUGCUUUCUGAAAUUGUGUUUCCUUUGUAACAAGCACUUGAGUCUUGAUAAAGAGGUGUACAUGUAUAGGGGUGAUCAGGGUUUUUGCAGUGUGGAAUGCAGAAGUAGGCAAAUAUAUAUAGAUGAAAUGAAAGAGAUAGAAAUUUCUACUAAGAAAGUGUUGGCAUCGAUGAGGCAGCGCGGGAGUAGUGGCCGGUGUGAGACUAGUAGCGUUUUAGAGGAAUCCCGGCAGCGGCGCCGCCCAUUUUCAACUCGAGCAAGUCGAGUUGUUUUCUCCUAGUUGAUCUGAUUUAAAAACAGUGUUUUCCAAUUCCUUCUGUAUUUUUGUCAGUUGAAUCAAGAUAGUAUACACAGUAAAGCUAUCCUAACAGGGAUAGCAUACAGAUUUUAGAAACAGCUACUGUUUCGUAUCUUUUUAUUUUUUAUUAUUUUUCUAAUAUCCAAUCAGUAAAUGACACGUGUUUGCCUACAUUUAAACCCUAUCCCUAUCCCUAUUUUUGUAGCAUUUCUCUAGUACACAAAGAAGUUCAGAUUUCAGAUAAUUUUUUAUCUAGAUAAUGUUGUUUAAAUGUAUAUCCAGAUUGAAUUAUGUAGAAG
rnacentral:lncRNA from 1 species